UCCUGGUUAGCUCAGUUGGUAGACCGCUCCAUUGGAAAUGGAAAGGUUCUUCGUUCGAUAACAGGACCAGGCG
rnacentral:tRNA from 1 species